rnacentral:rRNA from 1 species
UACGAAGGGUGCUAGCGUUGUUCGGAAUUACUGGGCGUAAAGGGCGCGUAGGCGGUUUAACAAGUUGGGUGUGAAAGCCCAGGGCUCAACCCUGGAACUGCACUCAAGACUGUUUUACUUGAAUUCGGUAGAGGUUGGUGGAAUUCCCAGUGUAGAGGUGAAAUUCGUAGAUAUUGGGAAGAAUAUCCGUGGCGAAGGCGGCCAGCUGGACCGACAUUGACGCUGAGGCGCGAAAGCGUGGGGAG